rnacentral:rRNA from 1 species
GAUGAACGCUAGCGGGAGGCCUAACACAUGCAAGCCGAGCGGUAUUUUUUCUUCGGAACAGAGAGAGCGGCGCACGGGUGCGGAACACGUGUGCAACCUGCCUUUAUCUGGGGGAUAGCCUUUCGAAAGGAAGAUUAAUACCCCAUAAUAUAUUGAGUGGCAUCACUUGAUAUUGAAAACUCCGGUGGAUAGAGAUGGGCACGCGCAAGAUUAGAUAGUUGGUGAGGUGACGGCUCACCAAGUCAAUGAUCUUUAGGGGGCCUGAGAGGGUGAUCCCCCACACUGGUACUGAGACACGGACCAGACUCCUACGGGAGGCAGCAGUGAGGAAUAUUGGACAAUGGGUUAGCGCCUGAUCCAGCCAUCCCGCGUGAAGGACGACGGCCCUAUGGGUUGUAAACUUCUUUUGUAUAGGGAUAAACCUACUCUCGUGAGAGUAGCUGAAGGUACUAUACGAAUAAGCACCGGCUAACUCCGUG